rnacentral:lncRNA from 1 species
CAAAGCAUUGGGGGUUUAGGGACAGUGGAGGCAAAAUAGACUUUAAGGGGGUAGAAAUAACCAGACGGAGGUGAUCUGAUUGGUGGCUAAAAUAAAGGCAGGAGCAAUGCAGA